GAAGGGGCCUACUAGGAAGCCGGAAAGGCACUCUGCGUCAGGAGCUGUAAUGACAGGACAAGGAGGAAUACAAACGGAAAGAUGGGAAAUUUAGGAGGAUGAACCUGUUGCCACCAGUGACAUCUCUCACAUACCAAAGCAUCAUGCUGCUAACAUUCUGGUUUUUAUCAGCUCAGUAGGCGCAAGUUCGCAGUGAACGCCACCUCUGCAUUUCAAAGAACAUCUCCCGCAAUUCUGUCGCUCUGCAAAUCCCCAUCUCGAUGUCGUACAGCUGUAGGAGUGCCGGGGAAGAACAACGCUCGUGGCGGGGAACAUCAUAGCUCCAAGGAAAAUAUGUAUCCUGUUGUGCUACACACUAGCAGUUGUCAAAGCUGGGUUGUUCCGUGGCAAGAUGUACAACUGCAGCAAACAUCUCACAGCGGGAGUUCUGGCGCUUUUGGAGGAGAGCUGAUACGGUGUGGUUUCAGCGAGUGCUCACGCUGCAGUUUCAGUAGUGCCACGCUCUGGCCAUGUUGCUUUGUCGCCACCAGAUGUCAUGCAGUGGCCACGGCUGCUGAAGGAGUCUUCGGGAAUUCGGGAACUAACUGCAGUUGUUACGGACAUUUGGUGGGGUUUACCUAAAGACAGGCAUUUAAUAAGUUUGUAUGUUGCCGAUCCAACGGUAUGCAGAACUCUAGUAUUUUUUCAGUCAUCUGAAGGAUUAGAAAGGUCUGAAAGGCUCAUUAAAUUUUUUUUUCCAGUUUAAAUAAGAUUGUUACGAUGACCUCUUUUUGAUAAAACAUAAUAUUCCAAACAUGAGCCGUAAACAAUCUUGCUAGUGCUCUAUAAGCAAAAAGUUAAGUUGUGGCACUUUUGUGAUUUGGGACAUACACAAGGUAGCUUUCCUUGCCUUGUCUCCAAAGGUUUUUGUGACACAUUAAUUUAAAAAGCAGGUAAACGGCUGUAAACCUGAAGAAACCAAAUUAGUAUUUGGUAUGGCCAAAGGAUAGGGAAAGAAGGCAGAGAGCACAUGUGGUAUUGCAAAGGCUUUAUGCUCUGAAGGAACUAGUUCCCUUACACUCCUGAAUAUGGGCAACUACACUCACCUUGCGUGUGUUGGGUAUGAUGGUGGUAGGGGAGAGGUUCCUCCAGAAGUAUUGUGUGUGCACUCACAAGUUUUAACUAGUGUGCAUGGUGUGGAAAUGACUGUUUUGCAGACCUGAAAUGGCAGGAGACCUGCACAGAACUGAUCCCAAAAUUACAGAGACAUCCAACCUGGAAGCACUGCACAUUACUAAAGGCUUCUCUGUUUCUGCAAGGAAUCCCCUUAAUGCUGUUACAGAUCUGCUGAAACCAGUCUCAGGAGGAUGCACUGACCAGAGGAGCUGCUGUGAGAUGCCAGCACCACUGGAAAAACAAACAAACAGAAAACCCUGACUGAACAGACAAAAAAAUAACAAGAUGUUUACCAAUAUUUUUCCUGGUUACAAGAUUUGCCAACUUUCAGAAAGCUUUGCACAUAUGGAUAUUCCUACAGGAAAUCAAGGAGAACCACAGGUUUAGUCUUUGCCCUUUCCUCCUAUGAGCUCCUCAGAUUUCUCCUAUAGAAAAGGGUGGUUUUGGUAGGGUUUGUAGGCUGAAGGGUUUGAUUGAUCAUUGUAGCAGCAUCACUAAAGGUAAUGCCAGGUGAUUUUUUUCUCACAGGCAGGCAGGAGUCUGCAGGUUAUUAUCAAUGAUACUGUUAGGAUGUGACUCCUUGAUGCUGCCUGUGCUCACCUCCUGAGGUCCUACUUAACCCCCACUGCUACAGUUCUUGAAGCACGAUAUUGGCCAGCUAGACUGUGUAAUCAGCAUUCUGUUGAUUACUGAUGGCAACUACCAAACAGAUUAAACAUUUACUUUUGCAUUUUUGUCUCGUGUAUAGUACAAGGAACAGAAGCACCUGACUCAGGCAUACGGAUUCCACUUCAUAGGCUGAAAACUGAGCUCCAUCAAGCACCCAAGUCUUUUGCUGGAUCUAGAUACAAGAAGCCAGGUAGAGAAUAAAACAGUUAAGUUAUAAGGUGAGAUAACUUGCUAUUUAAAUGAUCUUCCUGUUUAAACGCCCUACUGGUGUCGUUACCAGACACAGAUACAGCAAAAUACAUUGUCCAUGUGCGAUUUUAAAGACAAUAGUUCUAUAGGUGAAUGAGGCUCUGUUACUGAGACAAAAUUGGUUGUAGAUAAACACAUGAGAUAUAAUUGACUACUGAACAAAUAAACUAAACCUGAAGUGAACGCCAGCUUUGCUGUUAUUAUGACUACAAAUAAAGAAUCUGAAUCUAAUCAUUAGAAAUAAUUGCUAAGAUGUAAUGUCUAAAUAAAUACAAUUAAAAGGGAAUUAACUUCUUUGACAUAUUGUUUUCCACAUUGCUAUCUAAUGCUUUAAGUUGCACCAUCACUUGGCACAAUGGGCCAGUGUAAAUUGGAAGGAGAAGAGCUCAACAAACAUAUUUCCAAUUCCAAAGAUCCUCAAGCAGUAUUCCCUCAUUUUAAACGUCAUCAUCAGACACCACACAGUGAGUCAUUGCCUAAUGGCAACUGAAUCAAAAUACCUGUUAUUGAGUACAUAUGGAAUGUGAAGAUGCUUGUAACAAACAAGAUUAUAAUUAAAGAUGCAUUAAUUCUAAUAAAAAUAAGAGAAAUUGAACAGAUGGUUUACAUAUUUGUGGGCAGUUGUGUUUUUGUGUAAUGGUAGUGCAGAUGAAGAUUUGUAAGCAGAAUCAGUGUAUAAUUUACUUUGGAAGGGACCUCUGGAGUUCUUUCCUGACAUCUAGGCCAACACCCUUUCUCCAAGCAGGAGUAACUACAAAGUUAGAACAUACUGGUAAAGGCAAACCAUGCUAGCAUUUGAUUGCUGAAAAGUUACCUGAAAUAAAACAUGAAAUAUUAUUUCCUUCUGUAUUUUGCUAGAACUGGAAUAACUGAUAUUCAUUGUUUUGAUCACAUGGAAUGAAUUUAAUGGUGCUUUCAUAGAAUUGGUAUUUUGUGUCACCUACACAUACCACAAAGUAAGGAUACUUUGUAUGUAUAUAAUGUAUAUACUUAUGUAAGUUAUACAUACGUGUAUGUAUAACAAAUAGCCUUGACAGUUGGACAAAAGAUUCCAGUUAUUCAGUCCUGGCUCCUCUCUCUGUAAAGCAACUCCAUUAAAUCAUUGGCAAAACACACAGAUAUGUGAAACUUAACCUGUUCUAGUGUUGUUUUAUUAGCAACUGAUCAGCAAUCACCAUUGGUUUUUUCCCUUCACUUCCCUAACAGUUUUCAGUGGAAAGCAAAACGUACUUUGAUCUUCUACCUAUUGUCUUUUGAGUGUGUAAACAAAACCACAUUGUGAGAAUCAUUAAUGUACACCUUUUAACAUGCAACAGUAAGAGUCAAAUGAAACUCAUAAAGCUGCUAUUUAUAUCUA